UAUAUAUUAUGUGACAGUUAUGAGAUUGAACAUCCUCGUGAACUGCCAUGUGUGUAUGUGUGUGUUUGUGUAUGUGUGUGUGUGUGUGUGUGUGUGUGUGUGUGUGUGAAUAUUUAGAGUGAUGAACAAGAAGGGCCUGAAGAAGACACCAGGAGUGUAGCUGCGUCCUCUGUCAUGGAAGGCCCUGAGGAAGACACCAGGAGUGUUACAUCAUCCUCUGUCAUGUCUCUGUUCCAGAGGAUGCAGAUGGACCCUCUGGAGCGGGAAUGGUUACGGUGUGCUGCAUUAGGAAAUGCUCCUGGCCUGCGCCAGCUUCUGCUCCAGGACCCCUCCCUGGCCCCCAAAAAGGUGACGGCUCUCCACUGGGCAGCCAAGCAGGGCCGCAUAGAGACGGUGGACAUGAUGGCUCGCUCUGGCGCAGACGUCAACCAGAGAGCGCAUCAGAUGCUAAAGUGAACAUUAGGGACUACCACGGCAAGAUGGCCGCUCAUUACUGGAAUGGAAGCAUGGACGUUUUCAACAUGGGUGGCUCUCAAUCAGGUGGGAAGUGGUCGAGAGGGAGGCGUGGACAGCGCUAUGGACAGUUAUCAGCUCUUCUUUCUCGUUCGCGGAGUCAGGGAAACCUCAAUGUGGAGCUGAUCCCUGGCUCUCUGGAGUUAACCCCUCGUCUUCUGCCUCGCUCUGAAACCAACAUUCCGACCCUCAUGGACACGUUCUGAAUGGAGUUUUUGAGUUUCUACAGUCUGUAUGUAAAUACGAGUGAAAGAUAGUGUCAAUUAGAAACACCAUCUUUCUGUCUCCUCUCAUCUGUUGUCUUAUGAAGUGAAGAAGAUGCCAUGCUAUUGAUCAUGUUGAAGGUUUUUAUUUAGACAUAUUGUUUCUCAGCACAUUAUUGGCUGGCCUAGUGCCCAGUGUGAUCUUCUGCUGUCUGUGUCCACCAUGAUGAGCACCAGCUGUGGACACAAUGCAGUCAGUACUGUCAGUCAGUUUGCCUUCUCUUAUUCUCUUAUGCAUUUUAACCCAAAAGUGCAGACCCUUUCAAAGCUUUUCUUCAUUUUAACGCAUGCAGUCCUUAAAGGAGAACUCCGGUGUAAAAUGGACCUUUGGUGUAGUAAACCAUGAUAAAAGUACUUACCUUUGAUAAAUAGCAAACUUCGGUUCUCCCAGAGCUUUCUGAGAUCCAGAAAUUUUACCAGUUUGUCCAAACACCCUUCAGACUGGGUGACACAAUUUAAAAAGUGCACAAGAAAACUUAUUAAAAUCCUCUGUUUACAUCCCAUAACACGAGUGUUCUAUUCAUCAAAGGUAAGUACUUUUAUCAUGUUUUACUACGACAAAAGUCCAUUUCACACGGGUGAGGUACAUUGAACAUCCAGAGUGCAUCACAGGACAGUGUGUAAAUGUGUGAAUGUGUGAUCAGCUGACCUUAUGUAAAGACUUAAGGUGUGCUUGGUUACAUUUAAAAAAUGCAUAUAGUUAGUUCUGAUACAAUUUCUAGAAAAGAAUGUUAAAAUAGAAGUUCUAAAAGCAUUGAUUCCAAACUUUUAAACCGUACAUAUACAUCAUCUAUCAUCUAUACAUCAUCUAUAACCUUAAAUAACCAGUGGAAUAGAUCCCUUCAGCUGUGAUCUUAGGAUCGGCAGUUUGAAUCCUGAAUCAUGCUGGAUCAUUCCAAGUUGGGGAAAAAAUGGGCUGAAAUUAAUAUUAAUAUUGUGUAGGUUCCCAUUGUGUGGUCUGGACCAUUUUUCAGUUUGGGUCCAAAAAGGCAAGUCAAUCUUUAAACAAAACAUAGAAAAGGAGAAUUGUGUUCUUCCAAAAUUUGACUCCCCUUGGCGUGCAGGAGUGUCACUCAGCAGUAUGAACACAAAUGCUUAGACUGGGAAUUCAUUAAUUUAUUGUAACACUAGAUUAACCCUUAUUCAUAAAUAGGAAUUAAAGGAAUCUGGGGAUAAGCUUUUACACGCAACUUUUUCCCGCUCCUUUCAAAUCACAGAACCCAUAAUAUUCUACAAAAUGAUUAAUAUGAAGUAUAGAGACCAUGUAGCUGAUGACAACAAGAUAUCUUACAAUUUUUUAUUCAACCCUUGUUGCGCACUCUGAUCCGGACUUCAUAUGACAUAUUCCUUUUUAAACCUCAUUAACCUUUUUAAAAACAGCUGUCUUGCCAGACGCAUCACUGAGUCUUGGACAUACAGUAUUGUGCAAAUUACAUUUACAUUACAUUACAUUACAUUACAUUGCAAAUGUUAUAGGUGGGAAUUUCAGUAAAGAAAGAGCUUCUUAUUUGGGCAGUAAGUGUUUAUUAGCUCAGUAAAACACUAUAAUUACAAUAAAUACAAACAGUGAUUUUACA
rnacentral:lncRNA from 1 species